UGGGGAAUUUUGGACAAUGGGGGCAACCCUGAUCCAGCAAUGCCGCGUGUGUGAAGAAGGCCUGCGGGUUGUAAAGCACUUUAGGCGGGGAAGAAGGUCGUUGAGCGAAUAGAGCAACGAAUUGACGGUACCCGCAGAAUAAGCACCGGCUAACUCUGUGCCAGCAGCCGCGGUAAUACAGAGGGUGCAAGCGUUAAUCGGAAUUACUGGGCGUAAAGCGCAUGUAGGUGGACUGUUAAGUUUGAUGUGAAAGCCCUGGGCUUAACCUGGGAAUGGCGUUGAAGACUGGCAGACUAGAGUCGGACAGAGGGCCGUGGAAUUUCCGGUGUAGCGGUGAAAUGCGUAGAGAUCGGAAAGAACACCAGUGGCGAAGGCGGCGGCCUGGGUCCAAACUGACACUGAGGUGCGAAAGCGUGGGGAGCAAACAGGAUUAGAUACCCCCGUAGUCC
rnacentral:rRNA from 1 species